rnacentral:lncRNA from 1 species
CUUAAUUAAUACACAAUUUAUCUUUUCCUUCAGGUUAUUUAUUUCUCAGUCAAAACUCUUGGUUGCCUGCAAGAAACGGAUGCUGGCCCUGUUAAGCAUAAGGGAAUUUAUUGGAAGGACACGAGAGUUCUCAGCAUGGAUAGGUAGCUUGAAAACCAAGCUUAGGAAAGAGGAACUAGACCCAGUCCACAGCCCAAGCACGUUAAUUGGAUUGGGCUGCACUAUGCCUCUUGCCAGUGAUCAUUUUAGGCAUUACCAUGUGCCACCAUUCUGGGCAGUAAGAAAUCAGGAGAAGCUGCUAAGGUAGGGGGCAAGAGGAGACACUUCUGUAAAAAAUUUAACUUGCUGAGAAAAAGAAACUGAAGGAAGAAAGAGUCCCUUUAUCUACCCCAUACACACAUUUUUUUUGGCAGAAAAAUGGUGUCAGUGAUUGAAAGAGUGAGAAAGUGAACAGACCCUGUCUUAGUUUGUUUGGGUUUCUAUAACAAAGUACCAUAACUGGGGAGCUUAUGAGCAACAGAAAAUUAUUUCUCACAGUUCUGGAGGCUGGAAAAGUCCAAGAUCAAGAGGCCAGCAGAUUCAGUGUCUGGUGAGAGACCAUAUUCUGGUUCAUAGAUGGCACCUUCUUGCUGUGUCCUCACACGGCGGAAGAGAUAAGAGGUCUUUCUUGGGCCUCUUUUGUAAAGGCUCUAAUCCCAUUCUUGAGGGCUCUUCCCUAAUGACCUAAUUAUUUCCCAAAGCCCCCCCAUCCCAUUCCCCCAGACUUCGGGGUUAGAAUUUCAACCUAUGAAUUUUGGAAAAACACAAACAUUCAGACCAUAGCAAAUGCUUUCAGUUUUUCAAGGAUCUUCCACCAUGAGUAUCCUGCUUCAUUUUUAAAAUCACCCUGAGAAAUGGAGAAAAUGUAGUCUGGUUGAUUCACACUCAGGUCCCAGAGUUAAACAGAAUCCUGUCUUUGCCGUUAGCUAGCUGCGGUGAUGUGAAACAAGUUAAUUUACCUCUCUGAUCCUCUGUUUCUUUAUCAAUAAAAUAAGAACAAUAAGAUUCCCUAUUUCAUGGAGCUUACUUUGUGGUUGCCCUGUGAAGAGGGCAGCAUCAACCUCCCCCAACCCCGAAUUGGUUCAAAUAUUGAAAUUGAUGAUGUCACAAGUGCACCAAAAGGGGAGGAAAAUAUUUUUUACUCAGUUCAUGAGUCUUUUUGGGAGGGUUUGGGAGGCACCC